CCUACGGGAGGCAGCAGUGAGGAAUAUUGGUCAAUGGACGAGAGUCUGAACCAGCCAAGUCGCGUGAAGGAUGACUGCUCUAUGGGUUGUAAACUUCUUUUAUGUGGGAAUAAAAUGUUCCACGUGUGGGAUUUUGUAUGUACCAUAUGAAUAAGGAUCGGCUAACUCCGUGCCAGCAGCCGCGGUAAUACGGAGGAUCCGAGCGUUAUCCGGAUUUAUUGGGUGUAAAGGGAGCGUAGGUGGAUUGUUAAGUCAGUUGUGAAAGUUUGCGGCUCAACCGUAAAAUUGCAGUUGAGACUGGCAGACUUGAGUACAGUAGAGGUGAGCGGAAUUCGUGGUGUAGCGGUGAAAUGCUUAGAUAUCACGAAGAACUCAGAUGGCGAAGGCAGCUGACUGGACUGCAACUGACACUGAGGCUCGAAAGUGUGGGUAUCAAACAGGAUUAGAUACCCGUGUAGUC
rnacentral:rRNA from 1 species